rnacentral:rRNA from 1 species
UACGGAGGGUGCAAGCGUUAUCCGGAUUCACUGGGUUUAAAGGGUGCGUAGGUGGGUUGGUAAGUCAGUGGUGAAAUCUCCGUGCUUAACAUGGAAACUGCCAUUGAUACUACUGAUCUUGAAUUUUCCGGAGGUAAGCGGAAUAUGUCAUGUAGCGGUGAAAUGCUUAGAUAUGACAUAGAACACCAAUUGCGAAAGGCAGCUCACUACUCAAUCAUUGACUCUGAGGCACGAAAAGCGUGGGGGAUCAAAACAGG